CAAGGUGAUUUGGCACUUCUAAUAAAUCAGGAAAUGUAUUUAUCUAUUAUCUCCUCUCUUUUUUUUAGAUUUAUCCCUCUCAUUUCAACAUAAUAAUAAUCAAUUAUUAAAUAACAAUGGCACCGUUUCAAUUACUUAUACUUCCGUUAAGACCUAUGAACGAGGAAUAAAGCCCCCGAUUCACAAUCGACAAGCGAAAACUUAGGCUUUUCCAUUUCAAGAGUGUGCGCGAAGCCACGUCUCUUUGCCACCAUUAUGAUUUCAUUCAAGGAAAUCUCACAGGCAUUCAGAUGAAUCUUCACAAGUUUUUCACCACCGGUAAACCUUGAACUUUGGUACCUUGAAUCUUCACAAGUUUACGGUUAGAGUUAUUUGAGCAGUUUAUUGGCAUGAGUUGCUGAUAAGAGUUAAGACAUCAUAUUCUGGCUGGCUGAUGGUCUUAACGAGGAAAGAUUAUACUAUUUUUGUUACCUGCAUUGUAGCACUAUAGAUUUUGAAUUUUGGAUAUUCUUAUAUUUGUAAAAUGGUAUACGGGUACAAAGGAGGGGAAAGUGAACGAAUGCCAAGAAAACAAACUGAGAGACCCAAAGGCAAAAUAUUCGAACAAAGAAGGAAAAGUUGAAUUAGUAUUUCAGAAAACAUAAAGAAGAAGCAUAUCGCAACAUUACUAACACUUCACUUUUGUUAACAUCAUUCGCUUAAUGUGUUUUACUUUACGUUGGCUUUCGAAAUUUUCAUUUUUAUUCUAUUUGAUUUACAUUUAUGUGAUCAAAAUUUGUAUUUUUACGCAAGGUGUUUCUUCCUUUCUUUUAUUAAGCAGUCCGCAAAGGCGGAUUCAGGAUUUGAUGGCUACGGGUACCAUGGACGGAUGCACAUUUAUCGAAGCGGUGUCAUGCGACACCGUCGUAAUUUUUUACUAAAACAAACUGAGAGACCCAAAGGCAAAAUAUUCGGACAAAGAAGGAAAAGUUGAAUUAGUAUUUCAGAAAACAUAAAGAAGAAGCAUAUCGCAACAUUACUAACACUUCACUUUUGUUAACAUCAUUCGCUUAAUGUGUUUUACUUUACGUUGGCUUUCGAAAUUUUCAUUUUUAUUCUAUUUGAUUUACAUUUAUGUGAUCAAAAUUUGUAUUUUUA